GCCCGGAUGGCGGAACUGGUAGACGCAAGGGACUUAAAAUCCCUCGAUCUUCGGAUUGUGCGAGUUCGAUUCUCGCUCCGGGCACCA
rnacentral:tRNA from 1 species